rnacentral:lncRNA from 1 species
GUUUGUUUACCAGGAAAUCAAGAUGUGUAAACUGCAGGAAGUACUAUUUGACCCUCUCCGACAGUAUCUCAUUACAAUAAUUGCUAAUCUCUGAAUAAGACAGCCAUGUUUUGUGAGUAACUGAGAGAGAGAGGGGUUGUGUUAGGUAGAUUUUAGGUGUUUCAACAAAUAGAGCAUUGUAAAUGCUAACUUGGAUUAUGCUUUCAUUAUAGCUUUUGAUAAAAGACAUAUGGUGACCUUUGGGGUCAGCAAAGCUAGGACACAAUAGUAGGUAUUCUUUCAUGCCUUUUAACUGAAAAAUAUCACGGCUUGUUGUUUUGGAGUGCUGUCACUGCUCUGAAUCGAAAGGAUAAUGGCUACUUCCUGAUUAAACCCACUCUCCACAAUAUGGAGUCUGGAGAACGAUUGCCAUCUUCAACAGCCUCCUCUACUACACCAACUUCAUCUUCUACACCCUCUGUGGCUUCAGCAAUUUCAAAAGGCGGCCUUUCUACUGGAGUUUCUUCACUUAGCUCUGCAAUCAACCCAUGUGGACAUAUAUUCAGAGCAGCUGGGGAUCAACCGUUUAACCUGUCCACAGUGUCGAGUGCCUUCCCAAUGGUCAGCCACCCAGUCUUUGGUCUACAUUCAGCCAGCUCAGGGCAUUCAGAAUUUGGUGGUUUGGGGACACUUGGUACACCCACAGCCUUAGCCGCACAUCCCCAACUAGCAUCUUUUCCAGGUGCAGAAUGGUGGCGAACAACAGAUAUUCAUACCCGUACAGGAGCACCUUUCUUUCCACCAUUACUAGGAAUUCCACCACUGUUUGCUCCUCCAGCCCAGAAUCAUGAUUCAUCUUCAUUCCCUUCAAGGACUUCAGGAAAAAGUAAUCGAACUGUUCCUGAAAAAGGUGUAAAUGGGUCAAUUAAUGGAAACAGCACAUCAUCUGUAAUUGGUGUCAACACAUCAGUACUAUCCACUACUGCUUCAAAUUCCAUCGGACAGACUAAAAGUACAAGUUCAGGUGGAGGAAAUCGGAAAUGUAAUCAGGAGCAAAGCAAAAGCCAGCCUUUGGACUCUAGAGCAGACAAAAUCAAAGAUAAGGAAAGUUAUUCUUUAAAGGAUAUAUAUAUCUACACACAUAUAUAGUUUUAAACAUAUAAAUGUGUGUGUGUGUGUGUGUGUGUAUACACACACAUAUAUAUCAUUUCUAAUGUCACAGCCAGAAUCUAGCUUGGUGUGGUGGCACACACUGGUAAUACUGGCACUGAGAGGCUGAGGCAGGAGGAUCCUUAGUUCAGGCCCAGCCUGAGCAACUUAGCAACUUAGUGAGACCUUGACUAAAAACACAGAAAUAAAAAGGGCUGGGGAUGUAGCUCAGUGCAAAGCCCCUGGCUUCAAUCUCUAGUACCUCAAAAGUAAAAAAAAAUAAAAAUAAAAACUAAAACCACCAGCGUUUGCAGAUUAAUUUCCUAUGCAUUAUGAAAUCCUAU